AGUCGAACGAUGAAGCCCUUCGGGGUGGAUUAGUGGCGAACGGGUGAGUAACACGUGGGCAAUCUGCCCUGCACUCUGGGACAAGCCCUGGAAACGGGGUCUAAUACCGGAUACGAGCCUCCUGGGCAUCUGGGAGGUUGGAAAGCUCCGGCGGUGCAGGAUGAGCCCGCGGCCUAUCAGCUUGUUGGUGAGGUAACGGCUCACCAAGGCGACGACGGGUAGCCGGCCUGAGAGGGCGACCGGCCACACUGGGACUGAGACACGGCCCAGACUCCUACGGGAGGCAGCAGUGGGGAAUAUUGCACAAUGGGCGCAAGCCUGAUGCAGCGACGCCGCGUGAGGGAUGACGGCCUUCGGGUUGUAAACCUCUUUCAGCAGGGAAGAAGCGAGAGUGACGGUACCUGCAGAAGAAGCGCCGGCUAACUACGUGCCAGCAGCCGCGGGUAAUUCCA
rnacentral:rRNA from 1 species